UGGGGGUUGUUACAAGAAAAAGUAG
rnacentral:piRNA from 1 species